GAAAAGAAAAAAGGAAACGAAAACGCAGUAGAAGCAGAUCAUCAUCCGUUUCAUCUGCAUCGUCUUCUAGCACUACAUCCUCUUCUUCCUCCUCAUCAUGCUCAUCAUCAAGGUCGUCGUCUUCAAGUAGCAGAGAGUCUCCCAAGUCUAAAUCAAAGAAAAAGAAAAAAGAAAAGCACAACAAAAAGAAAAGGAAAAAAGAGAACAAAAUGAAGAAAAAGAAAGAAAAGAAGAAAAAGAGAGAGAAAACAGGACCUGUCCAGCUUUCCAAGUUCUUUAAAAACAAAAAGAAGAAUGAAAACUACAGCAUGAUAACGGGAAAGAAAAUUAAGAUGAAAAUAAAGAAGACUAAGAAGGAUAAAGAGAGAGACCGGAACCGUGCAGAACUCCUUGAAUUUCUGAACUCUGCCUUAUAAUGGGAAGAGUGCUGACCAAGGACUUGUAAAUAUACCAAGCCAACUAUCAUCAUGCCUAGCAAAACACUGAAAGGAGACUCGGGGAAAAGGACUGAAGAGAAGACAGUCGGGAUGUCCUUUUUCUAAUGGCAAAAUGAAGAGCAACUGGUAACUUGUUAAUGAAGAUCCAUGUCCUCCUUUUGAGAUCCUAAGGCAAUAGCCAGGCUGUGGUGUUUUAGAAGAGCCUAAGAGUGUGGUGUUGGCAAUGAUGAGAAAUGACACACUGAAGUCCAAUACAGUAAUUUCUAUCCUAACUGCAUGCAGAACGCACUCUUAAUUUCAAAUGUCUUAAUGUUUCUAGUAGUUUAAGCAAAGCAGAGUAUUUGUAAAUGUCUAUUUGAAAGAUGAGGCAUUUAUAUAUGUAUAUUUUUUCCAGUAGUGGUUUUACUUGUCCUAAAGAGCAAGUUGUAAAUAGAACAUGCUUUUACAUAAAUGAUUUUUUGACAGUUCAUUUACUAAUGUAUUAUUUUGUUUCA